rnacentral:rRNA from 1 species
UGCAAGUCGAACGAACCUUCGGGUUAGUGGCGGACGGGUGAGUAACGCGUGAGAAUCUGCCCUCAGGAGGGGGAUAACGGUUGGAAACGACCGCUAAUACCCCAUAUACCUACUGGUGAAAUGAAUUUCGCCUGAGGAUGAGCUCGCGUCUGAUUAGCUAGUUGGUGAGGUAAUGGCUCACCAAGGCUUCGAUCAGUAGCUGGUCUGAGAGGAUGAUCAGCCACACUGGGACUGAGACACGGCCCAGACUCCUACGGGAGGCAGCAGUGGGGAAUUUUCCGCAAUGGGCGAAAGCCUGACGGAGCAACGCCGCGUGAGGGACGAAGGCCUCUGGGCUGUAAACCUCUUUUCUCAAGGAAGAAGAUAUGACGGUACUUGAGGAAUAAGCCACGGCUAAUUCCGUGCCAGCAGCCGCGGUAAUACGGGAGUGGCAAGCGUUAUCCGGAAUUAUUGGGCGUAAAGCGUCCGCAGGCGGCUUUUCAAGUCUGCUGUUAAAGCGUGGAGCUUAACUCCAUCAUGGCAGUGGAAACUGAAAGGCUUGAGUAUGGUAGGGGCAGAGGGAAUUCCCGGUGUAGCGGUGAAAUGCGUAGAUAUCGGGAAGAACACCAGUGGCGAAGGCGCUCUGCUGGGCCAUUACUGACGCUCAUGGACGAAAGCCAGGGGAGCGAAAGGGAUUAGAUACCCCUGUAGUCCUGGCCGUAAACGAUGAACACUAGGUGUCGGGGGAAUCGACCCCUUCGGUGUCGUAGCUAACGCGUUAAGUGUUCCGCCUAGGGAGUACGCACGCAAGUGUGAAACUCAAAGGAAUUGACGGGGGCCCGCACAAGCGGUGGAGUAUGUGGUUUAAUUCGAUGCAACGCGAAGAACCUUACCAGGGUUUGACAUCCUGCGAACCUCUUAGAAAUUUGAGGGUGCCUUCGGGAUGCAGUGACAGUGUGCAUGCUGUCGUCAGCUCGUGUCGUGAGAUGUGGGUUAGUCCCGCACGAGCGCACCACGUUUUAGUGCAGCAUUAGUGGCACUCUAGAAGACGGCGUGAUAACGAGAGUGUGAUGACGUCAGUCAUCAUGCCCUACCUGGCUACAACGUACUAAAUGCUACGACAAGCAGCAAGCUCGGGAGCCUAGCAAUCCAUAUCUUGCU